rnacentral:rRNA from 1 species
AACGAACGCUGGCGGCAGGCCUAACACAUGCAAGUCGAACGUGAAGCCACCUUCGGGUGGUGGAAAGUGGCAGACGGGUGAGUAACGCGUGGGAACGUGCCUUUCGGUUCGGGAUAACCCAGGGAAACUUGGGCUAAUACCGGAUACGCCCUUCGGGGGAAAGAUUCAUUGCCGAAAGAUCGGCCCGCGUCGGAUUAGCUAGUUGGUGGGGUAAUGGCCUACCAAGGCGACGAUCCGUAGCUGGUCUGAGAGGAUGAUCAGCCACACUGGGACUGAGACACGGCCCAGACUCCUACGGGAGGCAGCAGUGGGGAAUAUUGCACAAUGGGCGAAAGCCUGAUGCAGCCAUGCCGCGUGGGUGAAGAAGGCCUUAGGGUUGUAAACCCCUUUCAGCGGGGAAGAUAAUGACGGUACCCGCAGAAGAAGUCCCGGCUAACUCCGUGCCAGCAGCCGCAGUAACAC